CUUUGAUGAGAUCAGUCAGCAUCAUACAGUCUGUACACAGAAACAAGAACUGAUAAAGGCGGCAUUCUCAAGUUGGGAGAGUAAGUGGCUAACACGGCAAGAUGUCUCUCCCAAGGGCUUUCUUUGACAUCACUGCAGACGGUAAAGAAUUGGGCCGUAUUAUCUUUGAGAUGAGGGUUGAUGUGGUCCCUAUAACUUGUGGACAUUUCCUUGAAUUGUGUGAUGGUGCAAGAGGCUUCAGUUACCAGGGCACAAGUUUUAAGAAAAUUAUCUCAGGUCUUUUCUGUGAAGGCGGCCAUUUUAAGUUUCAUGGUAAAAACCCUCUUCCGAUUUACCAUUUCCACAAUGAGAAUUUCACCCUAAAACAUACAGGUGCUGGAAUCCUCUCUUUGGCUCCGGAACAACAAAACAAAUAUGGUACAGAAUUCUGUAUCAGCUUUAGUAUGAACGAAUGGAAAGAUAAUAAAGAGGUUGUUUUUGGUAAAGUUGUUGAAGGUUUUGAAGUGUUAAUGAAGUUAAAUGCCAUGGGAUCAGAAUCUGGGAAUAUAGGGAAAAAUGUGAUUAUAUCACAGAGUGGCAUGCUGUUGUAAAAACAUAAGACCAAUCCUAUCAUCCAAAGCAGUUAAAUACACAAUUGGUUUGGCUGUUGAUUUCAUCUGGUUGUUUUUUGCUCUUCCAAGACUAAAUAAAAAAUCUAUAAAGUGAAA